rnacentral:rRNA from 1 species
UACGUAGGGGGCUAGCGUUGUCCGGAAUCAUUGGGCGUAAAGAGCGCGUAGGCGGCUAGAUAAGUCCGGUGUGAAAGUCACAGGCUCAACCUGUGAAUGCCGCUGGAAACUGUCUGGCUAGAGUCCGUAAGGGGCGAGUGGAAUUCCUGGUGUAGCGGUGAAAUGCGCAGAUAUCAGGAGGAACACCAAUGGCGAAGGCAGCUCGCUGGGACGGUACUGACGCUGAGGCGCGAAAGCGUGGGGAGCGAACAGG